GAUCCUGGCUCAGGAUGAACGCUGGCGGCGUGCCUAACACAUGCAAGUCGAACGGAGUUAUCGGAGCUUGCUUGAUAACUUAGUGGCGGACGGGUGAGUAAUGUAUGAGCAACCUGCCUUCAGAGGGGGACAACAGUUGGAAACGACUGCUAAUACCGCAUAAUGUGCGAGGGGGGCAUCCCUUUUGUACCAAAGGAGCAAUCCGCUGAAAGAUGGGCUCAUAUCUGAUUAGUUAGUUGGCAGGGUAACGGCCUACCAAGACUGCGAUCAGUAGCCGGACUGAGAGGUUGAACGGCCACAUUGGGACUGAGAUACGGCCCAGACUCCUACGGGAGGCAGCAGCUAAGAAUAUUCCGCAAUGGACGAAAGUCUGACGGAGCGACACCGCCGUGGAUGAAGAAGGCCGGAAGGUUGUAAAAUCCUUUUGAAACUGAAGAAUAAGCGUUGUAGGGAAUGACAGCGUGGUGACAGUAGGUUUUGAAUAAGCAACGGCUAAUUACGUGCCAGCCGCGGC
rnacentral:rRNA from 1 species